rnacentral:lncRNA from 1 species
UAUGUUGGAAGAGAGGGAACUGUCUUCAGUUAUGUAGCCACUAAUGGCCCCAGUGGACUCCAGUAGAGUUCCAAACUCAUAGUCACACAGAAGGCCCUGGUUACUCUCAGUGCUCAGAAAACAAAGCAAAACGUUCUGAGUGUGGGAAAGAGACUUAUAGAGAUGACGAAGGGUUGAUGGAGGUGGAAGGAAGCUAAACAGGGUAGGGAACGAGAGUAAGCAAUUCACUGUGCAUGUGUACGGACUUGUCAAAGUACAGCUUUAAUUACUACAACCACAUGGAUCUCAAUCCCAGCAGUGGGGACGGCUCUGAGGUGGUAAGGAGGGCUGCUCCACUCUAUUCCAUCAGUCAGGCAAGGAGAUGGAAAAGCCCACACUAGAGCGUGACAGGAAAGUUGGAAGGAAGGAAAUAAACUUGACAGCUUCUGUGGAAGUGACUCUUAAAGAGAGGCAAAGUACAAAUGAAUAAAUCAUUUCUGGCCUGGGCAACUGAGUUUACUGAGCUGGAGCCGAAAAGGUUUCAUAAACACUGCUCGGUGAGUAUGUUGUGGCUCUUCAGCACUGCUUCCUAAUGCCUGCACAGGACAGAAUGAAUGAAUCUACCUGUAAUUCAACAUCAACUAGAAACAGUUUAAACAUUGUUUGUUCGUUUGUUUGUUUGUUUCUUUGCUUAAGACAAGAUCUCCCUAUGUAGCGUUGGCUGGCCUAGAACUCAUUAGGCAGGCCAGACUGGCUUUGAACCUAGCAAUUCGACUGCCUGUUUCCUGACUGCUGGGAUGAAAGGCAUGUGUCACUGUGCCCAGCUUUUUAAUACAUUCCUUAAGCAUUUUUAACUACACACAUAAAAGGACAUAGGUAUUUUGUCAAAGAUACAAACAUGGAAACAAACACCCUGCUCAGCCACCUCUCUGAGUCCUGAGUUUGCUUAAUAACAAAGGAUUGAGACUGAAAACAAUUCUACUGACAGGAGGAGUCAGGGUCCCUGGCUGUCACUCACAGCUUAGUCAGCACUGUAGUAAGAAGUAUUCUUCUUUUAAAUAUAAGAUUUCUUUUUUAUGUGUAUGUGUGUGUACGAUUGCUUGAGGUUUGUGUACAACAUUUGUGCAGGAGCAGGCAGAAGGCAGAAGACAGAAGACCAAGUCAAAUGUGAGUUCUGGGAGCCAAAUCCAGUUCCUUUGCAAGAACAGCACAUCUCUUAGUCACUGAGUCAUCUCUCCAACCUGUUUGCUAAGCAUUCUUAAUGCCCCAAGAUAAAAGUUCUUGAGUUUAAUUUUUCAACAAAACUAUUUUUAUAAGUAUAUUCAUUUAAUGAAACUAAAACUUGGAGCACAUAUAAAAGAAGGAAAGAAAGGAUAGGUGGCUAAGAGCAACGAGUACUAUACACAUUAACAAAACAAGAAAUCACUGUUUCUGCUUCUACUCUAAUCGCAUACCUCACUCUAAGGACAGUGAACGACCCAUCCUUCAUUCCAAGGGCAAGAUGAAUUCCAUCUACAUUUACAGCAGCACACCGAAUUGGCUCUUCCAUAUUACAUCUUGCUAUUAAAGCAUGAUCUACAAGGCUCCAAAUCCUGUAUAAUUUAAUUCAAAAAUAAAAAUAAUUAAUGUCUACUGUAAAAAUUAUCUCUGUAAGAAUAUUUCAAGAUAAAAUAAUCUAAUUUAAAGGAAGACAUUUGUCUCUAUGAAAACAGCAAUAUUACUUAUGAUUAAAAUGAAAGAGUAUCAGAUUUUUUUUGUUUUUAAAGUAAUAUAGCAGGGAUGGCAAGAUGGUUCCAAAGGUAAAAGUGCUUGUAGCCCAGUCCCCAAAACCCAUAAUGGAAGGAGAGAGGCAGCUUCCCAAAGUAGUCCUGACUUCCGUGCAUGUCACGGCACUCACAAACCCACAUGCCUGCUCUCACAUACACAGCCAGGAACAGUUUGUUGUUGUUGUUUUUUAAAUAUAAAAACAUACUGACAUCACUAUGACCCAAUUGUUAAUCUGAAAUAGGUUAGUAAUCUCUACCCUAAUCAAAAAAGAGCUAUUUCCUUAAAUUAUAUAUGUAAGACUGGGCAUGGUAUUAUAUGCCUUUAAGCCCAGCAUUAGAGAGGCAGAGGCAGGCAGAUCUCUGAGUUGGUGGCCAGCCUGAUCUACAAACAAGUGCCAGGUCAGCCAGAGUUACAUAGUGAGACCCUUUCGC